ACAGGACUUGACAGGAGAGCGCUCAGGGGUCGAUUUAUCAUGUCAAGACUAGAUAUGAUAAAUUGAGCCCUGCUUGAUCAAUCGCUGCGCUCUGGUCCGGCAGGUAGCGUAGACAUGCUCCCAGGCUGAGAGAAGCCUGGAACAUUGGAAGCCUGACUAGAGACUGGAAUGCUCCUCUCAGUAGUUGUUGAUGUUCAAUGGCAGUGCCAUGUCAUCAAUGUACCUCACAUGCCUGCCAGACCCUCUGGCAUCUGGCUUAUUGUACAGUGAAAUAUUUCUGGAGCCAUUCGUAUUCCAAAAGACAGUUUUGGGAAUCAGUAUCUUCCAAAUGGUGAGUUGAAAAUGCAGAUAUCAGAGCACUGUGUCCAAGAGGAUCUACCAAAAUCCACCAAUUCAUCUAAUUUGAUGAAGAAUUUGGUUCUUGCCAUAUCAGACAACAGUUCACUCCUUGUGGGACUUCUCAGAAAGCAUUACACAGAAUUAAACCUCGGGGCUAUUAUAUGCAGAGACUGGCAGGAGGCAACAGAUUGAAAUAUUAACAGUUCUGAGGUGGUGUGACUGAAACUAUGCGCGUGAGAAAGCAGGAAGAGUGUAUUACACUAAAACAGCCUUAGAGUGAAGUUCUGCUCUGAAGAUAUAUUACAGCAAUAUUCCAGGAAAGUGAGCUGCCAAUAACCAAGGAGGAGGACUUGCUGAUAGGCUGUAUUACUCAAAGCAUGACACAAGUGAAGAAAGGGGCAGCUUCAGUACAGUUCUAAAAUGAAGCUCAGCAAAUGAACAGAGGAGUGGAAAGCUGCUUUGAUUGCCCUCUGCCAGGUACCAGGAGGAAAAGCUGGUGCUAAUGUCAAAUCUGUUUUUGUUUGUUUGUUUGUUUUUUGUCUAGACAAAAUAUUUGCCACAAAUGGUCAGAUUCGCAUCUGGCAUAAUGCAAGCUAUGAAAACUUGAAUGAUUAAAAUGAAUUCCAUUGUGUUCACUAACAUGGAGAUACACAAUGCUGUAGUAAAACCUUCCUUCAACAAAACCACAAUUGCAUUGUCUGUCAGGUCUGGUAAUCCUGUUUACAGCCAGACCUGAAGAAGAGCUCUGUGUAAACUCGAUAGCUUGUCUCUAUCAGACAGCCCAAUAAAGAUAUUAUCUUACCUACCUUGUCUCUCUACUGUCCCAGGACCAACGUGGCUUCAACAACCCUGGCUAUAACAAGAUGUGUACAGGGGGUCCCUGGUAUACAUCAGGGUUGUGUUUUUGAAAAGGAAAAUGGAUACCGAAAUGACGGAUACUGGGGAAUGUUUCUGCAUAAGAAAUAAUGGUCCACCCGCCUCUUCCCGCCCAGUUCCGCCCCCUUCUCCAAACAUGCCCCACCCCAGCUUUUCAAUGGCAUGCAGGAGGUGCUGGGAGGGAAGAGAAGGAGUUGAUCGGCAACCCAUGUGGCUGCUGGCAAACAGGAGGUGCUGGGGGGGGCACUGCCAAUGGUUGCUAAGACACAAAAGGUGAAGCAAGUAAAUUGCAAAUGAGGAAUAUGUGGGUUGAGACUGAUGUGAAUUGGAACACAUUCCACUAUUGAUAAGCAAUGGAUACACAAAACGAUGGAUAAGGGGAAGACGUAUAUGGGGGAUCCCAUUAUAUAUUCCAACACAUCAGAUUAAUUGUUACAAUGCAAUUCUUUUUAAUGUUUUCAGGUAUCUCAAAAUUUUAUAAUGUUAAUGUUUGUGUGAGAGGAACAGGACAAAGGACUGGAUGCCUUGGUAUAAAUCACCAUAACCCCAUUGAAUCCUUUGUAACUAUUCUGAUUUACCCCAGACAAACAUCUGGUCCAAAGGUUGCUUGAUUAAAUGUGCACAUCAGUUAUAAACAAUGAGGUGAAAGAUAUUGUCUCUGACUUUUUUAAAGCAUAUAGGAAAAUGAAAUAUUUCUCCCUAGGCACAAUCCAGGAAUAAGGUCUGGACAGAUAAAUACAUAGAUCGGGAUUUCAUUGUUUUUGAUGCAUUUAAAUUUGAUGAUUAACAAAACUUUAAUGUGACUGUGUACAAAACCUUGCACCAACUGAGGAAAGAGAGGGGGUGAGAAAGGAUAUGAACUAGAUGAACUACUGGUGGAAGUAAAUGGCUUUUAUUCUGAAUUGGUUGUCCAAUUGCAUCUGGCCAGAAAGAAGGAACAGUGAAAGCUGAUUCAAUAGUAGAAGCUUUGUUUAGUUGACAUGAUUCUUGGUACUGUAGUUGACCUCAUUGUAGGUUGUCACUAUGAUACAUCAUUCCUGUCUAAAAAUCUGGUGGUAUGGUUUGGGUACCUUAAGUUUGGAGGCAAAUGCUGUAUG